rnacentral:lncRNA from 10 species
CCGAGCCCUGGAUCUCUGAAAACCAGCCCAGAAUUUGGAAGCUGGAAGGAACUUUAGAUCGUCCAUUCUGAGUGUCUCUCUUCGCUGGCGUUUUCCCACUGAGGUUAUGUAAACAUGAAGAGGAGCCUACAAGUGUCAAGGAAAAAACGACAGCUAACCACAGGGCAGGCCAUGGGCAAGAUAUCUCAGUGUUCUCCGCUCUCAUAGGUCAGGUCACGACCCCCAGGAGACCUGGAGGACUGAAUGCUGCUGCCCCCAAGGAGGAGGCUGCCGUCUUAUCCCAGGAGGGAGAGCAGGUGAAGUCCCCAGGGGAGGAAGCACCUAGCCCCAUUCCUGCUGAGCAGGAGGUGGCAGGUACCCCAGACUGGGAGGUAAGGACAGCCCGGGGCUUCGACUGAACGUCUCCAGCGUGGGUCCAACUGAGCAGCCAUGGAGCACUGCAGAGUGGGAGGCAGCAGGGCAGGGAGGCAGUGCUGGAGGCUGGCUCAACCCCAAGACCAGCAGGCCAAGCUGCCAUCCCAGGGGAGCGAGGACGUCUGUGCAGAGCUGAGAGGCAGCAGCCAUGUGUGAACAGACUGGGCCUCAUCCUGGCCCCACCGACUUUGUGUGGACAGAGCCUGUUUCCCUGUCUGUGCAACACAGAACCUGCCUGAUCUCACUGCUGGAUCCCUCUUCUUCCUGCCAGGAAAAUAAAAAGGUUCAAAAGGAAGUUGCUGCGUAUCCAUCUGGUAAGACCACUGACCCAGCGUGCUGCAGGGGGCUGCUUCCACCCUGCUUCUCAGUGACUGCCAGGGUCACAGACACCCCAGCCCUUUCCCACCUUCCUGACCUGGGGAGGGGAGGGGAGGGAAGCAG